UACGUAGGGUGCGAGCGUUAAUCGGAAUUACUGGGCGUAAAGCGUGCGCAGGCGGUUCGUUAUGUCCGAUGUGAAAGCCCUGGGCUCAACCUGGGAAUUGCAGUGGAUACUGGCAAGCUAGAGUGCGGUAGAGGAUGGUGGAAUUCCCGGUGUAGCGGUGAAAUGCGUAGAGAUCGGGAGGAACACCCGUGGCGAAGGCGGCCAUCUGGACCAGCACUGACGCUGAGGCACGAAAGCGUGGGGAGCAAACAGG
rnacentral:rRNA from 1 species